AGGGAGUUUUUCCUUCCCACUGUCUGCUGUGUGCAUAUUGGCUCUAGAGCAGGGCUAUUCAACUAUAUUUUUCCUGGGGCCAAAUUUGUCAGAAUACUAUGAUCUGUGGGCCGGACAUUCACGUGACCUGUACUAUUACUCUUGGCUGU